rnacentral:piRNA from 1 species
UGAAAACAGAGACAAUCGUAGGGCCCAAAG